GGCAAAGUGGUCUAAGUUUAUAGGAUGUGGGGCUCAUGCCCCCAAGGUGUUAUCAACCUUUGUCU
rnacentral:tRNA from 1 species